GACGAACGCUGGCGGCGUGCCUAAUACAUGCAAGUAGAACGCUGAAGGAGGAGCUUGCUUCUCUGGAUGAGUUGCGAACGGGUGAGUAACGCGUAGGUAACCUGCCUGGUAGCGGGGGAUAACUAUUGGAAACGAUAGCUAAUACCGCAUAAGAGUAGAUGUCGCAUGACAUUUGCUUCAAAGGUGCAAUUGCAUCACUACCAGAUGGACCUGCGUUGUAUUAGCUAGUUGGUGAGGUAACGGCUCACCAAGGCAACGAUACAUAGCCGACCUGAGAGGGUGAUCGGCCACACUGGGACUGAGACACGGCCCAGACUCCUACGGGAGGCAGCAGUAGGGAAUCUUCGGCAAUGGACGGAAGUCUGACCGAGCAACGCCGCGUGAGUGAAGAAGGUUUUCGGAUCGUAAAGCUCUGUUGUAAGAGAAGAACGAGUGUGAGAGUGGAAAGUUCACACUGUGACGGUAUCUUACCAGAAAGGGACGGCUAACUACGUG
rnacentral:rRNA from 1 species